rnacentral:rRNA from 1 species
GGAUUCCCCUAGUAACUGCGAGUGAAGCGGGAAAAGCUCAAAUUUAAAAUCUGGCAGUCUUUGAUUGUCCGAGUUGUAAUCUAGAGAAGUGUUAUCCGCGUUGGACCGUGUACAAGUCUCCUGGAAUGGGGCAUCAUAGAGGGUGAGAAUCCCGUCUUUGACACGGACUAACAGUGCUUUGUGAUGCGCUCUCAAAGAGUCGAGUUGUUUGGGAAUGCAGCUCAAAAUGGGUGGUAAAUUCCAUCUAAAGCUAAAUAUUGGCGAGAGACCGAUAGCGAACAAGUACCGUGAGGGAAAGAUGAAAAGAACUUUGGAAAGAGAGUUAAACAGUACGUGAAAUUGCUGAAAGGGAAACGCUUGAAGUCAGUCGCGUUGGCUGGAAAUCAACCUUGCUUUUGCUGGGCGUACUUUCUAGUCAAUGGGUCAGCAUCAAUUUUGACCAUUGGAAAAAGUGUAGAGGAAUGUGGCAUCUUCGGAUGUGUUAUAGCCUUUGCUCGCAUACAAUGGUUGGGAUUGAGGAAUUCAGCACGCCGCAAGGCCGGGUUUCGACCACGUUCGUGCUUAGGAUGCUGGCAUAAUGGCUUUAAUCGACCCGUCUUGAAA